GAUGAACGCUGGCGGCGUGCCUAAUACAUGCAAGUCGAGCGAACAGACGAGGAGCUUGCUCCUCUGACGUUAGCGGCGGACGGGUGAGUAACACGUGGAUAACCUACCUAUAAGACUGGGAUAACUUCGGGAAACGGGAGCUAAUACCGGAUAAUAUAUUGAACCGCAUGGUUCAAUAGAGAAAGACGGUUUUGCUGUCACUUAUAGAUGGAUCCGCGCCGCAUUAGCUAGUUGGUAAGGUAACGGCUUACCAAGGCGACGAUGCGUAGCCGACCUGAGAGGGUGAUCGGCCACACUGGAACUGAGACACGGUCCAGACUCCUACGGGAGGCAGCAGUAGGGAAUCUUCCGCAAUGGGCGAAAGCCUGACGGAGCAACGCCGCGUGAGUGAUGAAGGUCUUCGGAUCGUAAAACUCUGUUAUUAGGGAAGAACAAAUGUGUAAGUAACUAUGCACGUCUUGACGGUACCUAAUCAGAAAGCCACGGCUAACUACGUG
rnacentral:rRNA from 1 species